AGAGCGAACGCUGGCGGCAGGCUUAACACAUGCAAGUCGAACGGACUCUUCGGAGUUAGUGGCGGACGGGUGAGUAACACGUGGGAACGUGCCUUUAGGUUCGGAACAACACAGGGAAACUUGUGCUAAUACCGGAUAAGCCUUUCGAGGGAAAGAUUUAUCGCCUUUAGAGCGGCCCGCGUCUGAUUAGCUAGUUGGUGAGGUAAAGGCUCACCAAGGCUACGAUCAGUAGCUGGUCUGAGAGGAUGGCCAGCCACAUUGGGACUGAGACACGGCCCAAACUCCUACGGGAGGCAGCAGUGGGGAAUCUUGCGCAAUGGGCGAAAGCCUGACGCAGCCAUGCCGCGUGGAUGAUGAAGGUCUUAGGAUUGUAAAAUCCUUUCAGCGGGACGAUAAUGACGGUACCCGCAGAAGAAGCCCCGGCUAACUUCGCGCCAGCAGCCGC
rnacentral:rRNA from 1 species